ACAAAAAAGAGGAAAGCGGUGAAAAACCGCCGGUCUUUUCCCCCAAGUCUAAAACCUCAUUCUCCACUUCCCUCCCGGAGUAAAAAUCACCCGCGAUCUGCAGAAGUCAACUCCGGCGACCGUCCGUACACUUCUCAACCGUGAUAUAGGUGGUGGCGGCGGGUAGAUUGGAUGGGAUAUGGCGGAGCUACCAUCGCCGCCGUUGAAGGACAACAAGCUGCUCAAAGGAGUUGUUGCUGUGGGUGGAAUCACGUUUACUCUCGUCAUAUACGGAAUAUUACAGGAAAAGAUCAUGAGAGUACCUUAUGGACCAAACAAAGACUAUUUUAUAUACUCAUUAUUUCUUGUGUUCUGCAAUCGGAUUACCACUUCUGCAGUCUCUGCUGGAGUUUUACUGGUAAGUAAGAAGGCAUUGGACCCAGUAGCUCCACUCCAUAAGUAUUGUAUUGUUUCUGUGUCUAACAUCCUUACAACAACUUGUCAGUACGAGGCUCUCAAAUACGUCAGCUUUCCUGCUCAAACCCUGGCAAAAUGUGCCAAAAUGAUACCUGUAAUGAUCUGGGGUACUAUCAUCAUGCAAAAGAAGUACAAAGGACCGGACUAUUUCUUGGCAUUCCUAGUCACACUUGGCUGUUCAUUAUUUAUUCUGUAUCCGGCAGAAGGGGACACUAGCCCAUACAGUAGAGAAAGGGAGAGCACCAUUUGGGGAGUUUCUCUUAUGAUGGGCUAUCUUGGGUUUGAUGGAUUUACGAGCACGUUCCAGGAUAAACUUUUUAAAGGCUAUGAUAUGGAAAUACACACUCAGAUAUUCUACACAACCGUCUGUUCUUGUCUUCUUAGUUUCACUGGUAUGAUAUUGCAGGGCAAUCUUCUCAUGGCAAUUGAUUUCGUAUCUCGCCAUCAUGAUUGUUUCUUUGACAUUGCUCUGCUUUCGACUGUAGCAACAGCUAGUCAAUUCUUUAUUUCAUACACAAUCCGCACAUUUGGUGCUCUAACCUUUGCAACCAUAAUGACCACAAGACAGGUCAGCAGCGAUUGAGUGUCUCAGGACUAUUUUGGCACGUAUGACCUCUGUGAGCAAACUGAAAGCCCCUUCGGUAUCUUGUAUAAGACGAACUUCAUUUAAGGUAAUCUAGCUGAAGCAGAUAAACUUUGGGUGGUAAUUUUGUCCUACAUAUUAGGCCAAGAGUCAAUUAUCCCAUUUCGAGAGUGUAGCUUCUUGCAGCAUUCUUUCACAGAGAAAGUCUUGUUUUGUCCCCAGAUCAAGGAGUCAGUUGUGUCUUCAACUAUGGUGCAAGUCCGUUUGGGAAGCAGGCUUAAUAGACUAUCGACCUCCCAAUCCUGUACCAAUCUCCUGAGAUGGCAUGGAUGUCCCAGCUAUUGCCAGUUCUGUUCUGCGUGAAAGUCAUUUUUCCUUACAACUAUCUAAUCUUGACUUUAUAUUUACUUAUUUCAACUAACACUUAGACAUUAUUAUUAGUCUCUAGAAUUCAAAAGUUUCAUCAAAACACUCACCAAUUAACUGAUAUUAUUAUUAAUUUUUAUUAAAUUAUUUUUUCUGGAAAAUGUUUUUUCACUUACAAACCAAACACCAUAAUUAUUGUCAAGGAAAAUGACUUCUGUCUUACCAAAUGCACCCUUGGUAGCCUUGUGCCUAACCAAUAUUGAUGAUGCUCGAUUAAAUUGAUGUAGUUGUUGAGCAUUUUGCUGUCGUGCUUGUGGUUUGGCCAUCCCCUUAGCUGGGAGCAAUGCAUUGGAGCUGUUAUUGUCUUUGGGGCCCUUUAUGCAAGAAGCUUCUUAAAUACUAAAAAGAAACCACCAUUAACUUUGGAGAACACAGAA